UCGUCCUACGGGGCGCAGCAGUAGGGAAUCUUCCACAAUGGACGAAAGUCUGAUGGAGCAACGCCGCGUGAGUGAAGAAGGGUUUCGGCUCGUAAAGCUCUGUUGGUAGUGAAGAAAGAUAGAGGUAGUAACUGGCCUUUAUUUGACGGUAAUUACUUAGAAAGUCACGGCUAGCUACGUGCCAGCAGCCGCGGUAAUACGUAGGUGGCAAGCGUUGUCCGGGUUUAUUUGGCGGAAAGCGAGUGCAGGCGG
rnacentral:rRNA from 1 species